rnacentral:rRNA from 1 species
GUCCACGCCGUAAACGAUGUCUACUAGCCGUUGGGGUCCUUGAGGCCUUAGUGGCGCAGCUAACGCACUAAGUAGACCGCCUGGGGAGUACGGUCGCAAGAUUAAAACUCAAAUGAAUUGACGGGGGCCCGCACAAGCGGUGGAGCAUGUGGUUUAAUUCGACGCAACGCGAAGAACCUUACCAGGUCUUGACAUCCAGAGAACUUUCCAGAGAUGGAUUGGUGCCUUCGGGAACUCUGAGACAGGUGCUGCAUGGCUGUCGU